GAUAAGAACGUAGUGAAAUGCGAUACGUAAUGUGAAUUGCAGAUUUCAGUGAAUCAUCGAAUCUUUGAACGCACAUUGCGCCCGCCAGUAUUCUGGCGGGCAUGCCUGUUCGAGCGUCAUUACAACCCUCAAGCCCCCCGGCUUGGUGUUGGGGACCGGCCACCGGUGCCCUGCUGCUUCCGCGGCAGGCGCACCCGGCCGCCCCCGAAAUGAAUUGGCGGCCCCGUCGCGGCCUCCCUCUGCGUAGUAGCACACAUCUCGCAGCUGGAGCGCGGCGCGGCCACUGCCGUAAAACGCACCAACUUUUUUUACAGUUGACCUCGAAUCAGGUAGGAAUACCCGCUGAACUUAAGCAUAUCAAUAAGCGGAGGA
rnacentral:misc_RNA from 1 species